rnacentral:rRNA from 1 species
GGCGUCGACCGGCGCACGGGUGAGUAACGCGUAUCCAACCUGCCCACCACUUGGGGAUAACCUUGCGAAAGUAAGACUAAUACCCAAUGACGUCUCUAGAAGACAUCUGAAAGAGAUUAAAGAUUUAUCGGUGAUGGAUGGGGAUGCGUCUGAUUAGCUUGUUGGCGGGGUAACGGCCCACCAAGGCGACGAUCAGUAGGGGUUCUGAGAGGAAGGUCCCCCACAUUGGAACUGAGACACGGUCCAAACUCCUACGGGAGGCAGCAGUGAGGAAUAUUGGUCAAUGGACGAGAGUCUGAACCAGCCAAGUAGCGUGCAGGAUGACGGCCCUAUGGGUUGUAAACUGCUUUUAUAAGGGAAUAAAGUGAGUCUCGUGAGACUUUUUGCAUGUACCUUAUGAAUAAGGACCGGCUAAUUCCGUGCCAGCAGCCGCGGUAAUACGGAAGGUCCGGGCGUUAUCCGGAUUUAUUGGGUUUAAAGGGAGCGUAGGCCGGAGAUUAAGCGUGUUGUGAAAUGUAGACGCUCAACGUCUGCACUGCAGCGCGAACUGGUUUCCUUGAGUACGCACAAAGUGGGCGGAAUUCGUGGUGUAGCGGUGAAAUGCUUAGAUAUCACGAAGAACUCCGAUUGCGAAGGCAGCUCACUGGAGCGCAACUGACGCUGAAGCUCGAAAGUGCGGGUAUCGAACAGGAUUAGAUACCCUGGUAGUCCGCACGGUAAACGAUGGAUGCCCGCUGUUGGUCUGAAUAGGUCAGCGGCCAAGCGAAAGCAUUAAGCAUCCCACCUGGGGAGUACGCCGGCAACGGUGAAACUCAAAGGAAUUGACGGGGGCCCGCACAAGCGGAGGAACAUGUGGUUUAAUUCGAUGAUACGCGAGGAACCUUACCCGGGCUUGAAUUGCAGAGGAAGGAUUUGGAGACAAUGACGCCCUUCGGGGUCUCUGUGAAGGUGCUGCAUGGUUGUCGUCAGCUCGUGCCGUGAGGUGUCGGCUUAAGUGCCAUAACGAGCGCAACCCCUCUCCUUAGUUGCCAUCAGGU